UUUCACUUCAACAUUUAAUUUUCAUUUUAAAAAAGAUAUCAUCAGAAAAAGGUAAAUUUAAAUUCAUUAAAAUGACACAUCUAUCAGACUUUCAAAGAGGUCAAAUUGUUGGUGCUCGUAUUGCAGGUGCUAGUGUAAAGAAAAACAGCUGAAAUGUUUGGUGUAUCAAGAAGUACUGUCUUGAAAGUAAUGACAGCCUUUGAGAAAGAGAGAAAAACAAAACUCUGGAAGAAAACCAAAACUUUCAGAUAGGGACCGUUGAACUUUUACACGAAUUGUCAGAAAGGACCACAAAAGUACAGCUCCCAAAAUAACUGCAGAGCUUAAUGACCACCUCAAGAACCUAGUUUCCACAAAAACUCUUCACCAGGAGCUGCACAAAACUGGAUUUCACAAGAGGGCAGCAAUCAGGAAACCACUACUUGCUAAAACAAACAUUGCAAAGCAUUUAGAGUGGAGUAAAAGCCUACAGAA